CCUACGGGAGGCAGCAGUGGGGAAUCUUGCGCAAUGGGCGAAAGCCUGACGCAGCCAUGCCGCGUGAAUGAUGAAGGUCUUAGGAUUGUAAAAUUCUUUCACCGGGGACGAUAAUGACGGUACCCGGAGAAGAAGCCCCGGCUAACUUCGUGCCAGCAGCCGCGGUAAUACGAAGGGGGCUAGCGUUGCUCGGAAUUACUGGGCGUAAAGGGAGCGUAGGCGGAUAGUUUAGUCAGAGGUGAAAGCCCAGGGCUCAACCUUGGAAUUGCCUUUGAUACUGGCUAUCUUGAGUACGGAAGAGGUAUGUGGAACUCCGAGUGUAGAGGUGAAAUUCGUAGAUAUUCGGAAGAACACCAGUGGCGAAGGCGACAUACUGGUCCGUUACUGACGCUGAGGCUCGAAAGCGUGGGGAGCAAACAGGAUUAGAUACCCUGGUAGUCCACGCUGUAAACGAUGAGUGCUAGUUGUCGGCAUGCAUGCAUGUCGGUGACGCAGCUAACGCAUUAAGCACUCCGCCUGGGGAGUACGGUCGCAAGAAUUAAACUCAAAGAAUUGAGG
rnacentral:rRNA from 1 species